GGACGUGUGCCCGAGCAUUCAAGGGUUACUUUGAUAGAGUAAAACACAGGGAAUAAUACCCCCUCACUUCCU
rnacentral:tRNA from 1 species